GAGUGAACAGGGUUCUGCUGCUGCCCUGACCCAGGCAGCAUGGGGACGUGUGAGCAGAGGUCAGCUCAGCUCUCUUCUGCACGACCCCCAGAACAACCCUUUUCAGCCCAACUUCUCUUUCCUUUGGGACAUGGACAGAAAGGCCACAGGUGGCUGCAUGCCCCAACUCCACCAGCUGCACAGACAGGGAGAAGAUCCGUGCCGUGGGAGGCAAGGACGGCUGCUCGGGCAGAGUGGAGAUCUGGCACCAUGGCACCUGGGGGACACUGUGUGACAAUGCCUGGGACAUGCGGGAUGCCGAGGUGGUGUGCAGGCAGCUGGGCUGUGGCCCCGCGGUGUAUGCCCUGGGCCAGGCUGCUGCUGGAGAGGGGACGGGCCCCAUGUGGCUGAUGGAGUGCAGGGGGACGGAGCUGUCUCUGCAGGACUGCUGGGCCCAGCCAGGGGACAGCGCUGCCUGCCAGCAUAAGGCAGAUGCGGCUGUGCAUUGCUCAGCUGCACCCAGGACAGCAACACCCCCCCCACAAGCAGAUUCCCCACGGGGCCGUCCGACCACCAGCAGCGAGGGACUCUCUUUGCCUGUCAUCAUCUGCAUCAUCCUGGGGGCCCUCCUCUGCCUGCUCCUGGCCCUCCUGGCUGGGCAGGUGCGAAGUGCCAGGGCUCGGCGCAGAGGUGGGUCCUUCCCCAGUGGUCCUGGGGGGGAGAUGCCUCCUGGCAGGGCUGGGGGUGCUGGGGGUGUUGGUGUCCUGGGACACAGAAACAGAGCCGUGUGCUGCCUCCUGCCCCAUGUGCUGCCCCACUGACUGACAGACCAUGGGGCACCAACAUCAAGGGGUGGAGAG